GUGCACAAUAUUGUGAAGGUAAUUAACACCACUGAAUUGUGCACUAAAAAAUGGUCAAAAUGAUAAAUUUCAUGUUACACA